UACAGAGAGUGCGAGCGUUAAUCGGAAUUACUGGGCGUAAAGCGCGCGUAGGUGGAUAUGUAAGUCGGAUGUGAAAGCCCUGGGCUUAACCUAGGAAUUGCACCCGAGACUGCACAUCUAGAGUAUGGUAGAGGGAAGUGGAAUUUCCGGUGUAGCGGUGAAAUGCGUAGAUAUCGGAAGGAACACCAGUGGCGAAAGCGGCUUCCUGGACCAAUACUGACACUGAGGUGCGAAAGCGUGGGGAGCAAACAGG
rnacentral:rRNA from 1 species